CAGGUCCUGCCAGGAGCCUGCUCCAGUGCGGUCACAACCUCCUUCAGGCAUCCACCUGCUCUGAGUGGGCUCCUCCAGGGGCUGCAAGUGGAGAUCUGCUCCACCGCGGACCUCCACGGGCUGCAGGGUCACAGCCUGCCUCACCGGGGGCUGCACCAGGGGCUGCAGGGGAAUCUGCCCUGGUGCCUGGAGCAACUCCGCACCCUCCUUCUUCACUGACCUUGGUGUCUGCAGUUGUUCCUCACAUAUUCUGACUCCCCUCUCCUGGCUGCUGGAGCACAGGGGUUUUUCCC